rnacentral:rRNA from 1 species
CCCUUAGAUGUUCUGGGCCGCACGCGCGCUACACUGAAUGGAUCAACGUGUUUUCCCUUCCCGAGAGGGACGGGUAACCCGCUGAACCCCAUUCGUGGUAGGGAUCGGAGCUUGCAAUUGUUCUCCGUGAACCAGGAAUUCCCAGUAAGCGCAAGUCAUAAGCUUGCGUUGAUUACGUCCCUGCCCUUUGUACACACCGCCCGUCGCUACUACCGAUUGAAUGGUCCGGUGAAGCCUCCGGAUUGGCGCGCACCUCGGUGCCGCCGAGAAGUUGGCUAAACCUUACCAUUUAGAGGAAGGUGAANUCGUAACA